UUCAGGAAACCCGAGAGGUGCGCGGUGCCAAACAGGUUGUGAGUCAGAGCUCCUCUUGGGGGGCCAGGGGGGAGGGCGCCUUCUCCUGCUUCCUUUCCCAGUCAUUCCGCGGAGCAUCAUGAAACAUUGAUUAAACCCCUACCGUGGGCCUAGCCCUGUAGUGGGGGCCAGGUCGGUUUCAGCGGGUGCGUGGGCUGGGAGCACACGUGUCCUGGUCCCUGGUCCCGGAGUGUGGCGAGCUUCCGGAGACUUUGAUCAACUCCGUCUCCUUUCCGAGUUCCAGUGUCCCCCAUGCCUAAGGUCCUGAUGCCAUCCUAGCCUCCUUCCGACUCUGGAUUGCUUCUGGGAGCUGCCUAGCACGGCUCCUGCUCUGGGUUUUGGUAAGAAUUCAGUUAUUUGAGAAGAGCCCUCCCGGCCUUUGAAAGUAAGGAGCAGGAUAUAUGGAAUAGAUCCCUCACAUGUGGCAAAUCUGGAUAAUACAGAUACUGGCUUCCAAGAUGAGCCUAUGAAGUGAGAGAACCAGGCAAGUUCUGGAGGCAAGAACUGGAAACUGCCAAUCGAACAGGCAUCGUGAUCUGGUGGCAAAAGCUUGCUGUCCUUCAUCCUGGGUUCUAGGAACAAUUCUGCUUGAUAUGUUCUAUGAUUUGGGGCAGAUCCCAGAGAAAGGAUGACAUUGAGAAGUCACCCCACCUCUGCCACCAAUGCCUGAUGGACAUAUAGCCUGAGACAUAGAUACAUCCUAUCAUUUAAGCCACUGAGAUUGAGAAUUUGGAGUUUGUUUUGACAGCAUAAGUUUACCUAACCAACUGAUACAUCUUCCAGCCUCAAACCCAAUCUUCCCUGUCCAGAGACAACCACGAUUAUGAAGUCAUUGGGAAUAUUUCCAUUCAUAUUUCCUAAAAAUUUCCAAAAGAGAAACAGAAACAGAGAGAGCAGAGAGGGUGAGGGACAAGCAGUCUCUGCACUGAGCACAAAGCCUGACACGGAGUUUGAUCCUAUGACCCUGACAUCAUUGCCUGAGCCAAAAGUCAUGAACUGAUGUCUCCAAUGACUGAGCAACCCAGAUGGGGAAACUGAAGGAGAAGAGGAGAAGGAACUUCAUAUCGCAGAGAUCAGCAUCCAGUUUGGUUGCUCUGGAAGAAACAAGAGAAGAGUGCUUCUGAGUACAUAGAUCCUCCUUUGGAUGCAUAAUAAGGAUCACAUGGUGGGGAUCCUGGAUUUCCGUCUUGACUGCCCCUAUGCAUCAGCACCAAGAGAAUGGGGCCAGAGAGUGGUGAGAGGGAGAGAUGCCUCAGGAAGCCUCCCCUGGAAGGAAGAACUGAUCCUGCCUUAAAGCCCCCCCUCACCACCCAGGCCAGAGACAAAACGCAUACCAUAGAAGAGGCAUCCAGAAUGGAAACAACUGUCCAAGCCACCGCAGGAAGCUUACACCCCACGUUCCCAGGCAGAAGUGUGGAUGUUUCCAAACCUAACAGUCUUGGUCCUGGUUGGGUGACACAGACAGACCUAUCUGAGGAGGGGACAUUCAGCAUUUGAGACAUAAGAGAUAAGAAAAAACCAUCUACGUGAAAAGAAGAGGGGAAGGCUUUGCUGACUGAACGAACAGCUACUAAAAAUCACUUUUGGAGUGCUCCAAGAAGAAACAGAAGUGUGGCUGAAGAAUGACAGGAGAAAAGAGAGCAGAACAUUCCAGAAGGAAGACAUGCCCUGGCCAAGGCCCUCAGGGGUAAAUUGUUAUGGGCACCCAGGUCUCCCAUUUCAAGAUCUUCCAAAAUCUGGCUCCCUGUGAUGGUUAAUUUUAUGUGUCAUCUUGUCUGGACCAUGGGGUGCCCAGAUUAAACAUUAUUUCUGGGAGGGGGCAGUGUUUGAAGACGUUUUUUGGAUGAGAUUAACAUUUCAAUGGGCGGAUUCAGUAGAUUGCCCUCCUCAGUAUGGGUGGGAAUCAUCCAAUCCCUCAAGGGACAAAACAGAACAAAAGGUAGAAGAAGGAAGAAUUCACCCCUCUUGCUUUCUACCUGCCAGAUGGAGCUGGAAUAUCAGUCCCCUGCUUUGGACUGUGAAUUAUACCCUUGGUUCCCUGGUGCCCUGGUUCCCUGGUUCUCAGGCCUCAGCACUUGGACUGCAAUUAUACCAAAGCAUCCCAGCGUCUCCAAAUUGCAGAUGACAGAUUGUGGGGCUUCUUAGGCUCCAUGAUCCUGUGGAACAAUUUCUCAUAAUAAAUACCCACGCCUGUAUAUAUUUUAUUGAUUCUGUUUCUCUGGAGAAUCCUGACUAAUGCGUUCCCUGAUCUUUCUUUUCCCAGAAGUCUCCGGGCUGAUGGAAUGGCUCCUGGUCUACCUUGUGCACUUGUGGAGCACUCACAUCAUACAGCCCCUUAGAGCUCACGAGGCACUCGGACCAGUGGUUACUCUCGUGUGGUCAUCACGUGCCCCACAUGAGAUGGGUCAUUUGAACUAUUCUAGGAGCGCCUGAGUGGCUCAGUCAGUUACGUGUCUGCCUUCGGCUGGGGUCAUGUUCCAGAAGCCUGGCAUCUAGGUCAAUGUGGGGCUUUCCCCUCAGUGGGGAGUCUGCUUCUCCCUCUCCCUCUGCCCCUGCCUUGCUCGUGCUUUCUCU